rfam:Sordaria macrospora k-hell, WGS project CABT02000000 data, contig: 2.16
GGUUGUGUAGUGUAGUGGUUAUCACUCUGGAUUUUGAAACUUCCUCCAAAACCUUCCAGUAACCCCGGUUCGAACCCGGGCACGACCU